rnacentral:lncRNA from 1 species
AAUAUAGAAUUUUAGGAUUCAACAACGAAAACCCUGAAAAUCAUACGGCCUCAGCUCAGGAUCUGGGUUUCCAAAUUUUGCUCCUGUAAUUAUGAGCACCUGCCCAUGUAAUUUGUGAAGAAUCAGCAGAAGUUUAACAUGGAUGGCUAAGAAAUCACUGAAAAGGCACUAUCACUGCCCAGUAUCUUUUGUGCUGUGAAGUAAAUCAAACUGCAAGGAGAAGAGAAAAUAAAAGAAGAGAAAAGAAAUAAAAACUCUCUCACCUGGAGAUUUUGGGAAAGGCUUUUGGGAAAGUGGGGGUAGAUAAACAAUUGCUCGUUUUGUUCUCUGUGAUGGUAGUGCGUUAUGUGGUUGUGGGAGGCGAGUGUGCUGGUUGAGAAUCAGAGGAAAUGGCGAAGUGCCCCAUUUUAUUUUAUAAUUAUUAGUUGUUAU